GUGAAAAAUAUUACUUCAUUACUAAAGUUGGAAUUGAAAUAAAAAAGAAAUAUAUGAUAAAUAUGGAGUUAUUUGUUCGAGUUAUGGGGAAGGGGUAGGACCAUAUGUGUAGGCUGUACUUCUUCCUACUCCUUUUUGGACAUGUAAUAUUUAUUUAUGUUGAUAAUUUGUUUAUUGACAGUUUGCAAUAUGUUUACUAUUAAUUUUAUUCGUUAUUCUUGUUUUGUUUUACACUUAUUUUUUACUUGU